UGGGGAAUAUUGGACAAUGGGCGCAAGCCUGAUCCAGCCAUGCCGCGUGAGUGAUGAAGGCCCUAGGGUUGCAAAGCUCUUUCACCGGUGAAGAUAAUGACGGUAACCGGAGAAGAAGCCCCGGCUAACUUCGUGCCAGCAGCCGCGGUAAUACGAAGGGGGCUAGCGUUGUUCGGAUUUACUGGGCGUAAAGCGCACGUAGGCGGAUUUUUAAGUCAGGGGUGAAAUCCCGGGGCUCAACCCCGGAACUGCCUUUGAUACUGGAAGUCUUGAGUAUGGUAGAGGUGAGUGGAAUUCCGAGUGUAGAGGUGAAAUUCGUAGAUAUUCGGAGGAACACCAGUGGCGAAGGCGGCUCACUGGACCAUUACUGACGCUGAGGUGCGAAAGCGUGGGGAGCAAACA
rnacentral:rRNA from 1 species